GUCCACGCCGUAAACGAUGAUCACUCGUCAUUGGCGAUACACGGUCAGUGACCUAGCGAAAGCGUUAAGUGAUCCACCUGGGGAGUACGAUCGCAAGAUUGAAACUCAAAGGAAUUGACGGGGGCCCCGCACAAGCGGUGGAGCAUGUGGUUUAAUUCGAUGAUACGCGAGGAACCUUACCAGGGCUCGAACGCACGUAGACAGUCGCGGAAACGUGAUCUUCUUCGGACUGCGUGCGAGGUGCUGCAUGGCUGUCGU
rnacentral:rRNA from 1 species